AACGAACGCUGGCGGCGCGCCUAAUACAUGCAAGUCGAGCGAGAAGACGUAGCAAUACGUUUGUAAAGCGGCGAACGGGUGAGGAAUACAUGGGUAACCUACCCUCGAGUGGGGAAUAACUAGCCGAAAGGUUAGCUAAUACCGCGUACGCUCCUUGGACUUCGGUUCAGGGAGGAAAGCGAUACCGUGGGUAUCGCGCUCUUGGAUGGGGCUCAUGUCCUAUCAGCUUGUUGGUGAGGAACGGCUCACCAAGGCUUCGACGGGUAGCUGGUCUGAGAGGACGAUCAGCCACACUGGCACUGCGACACGGGCCAGACUCCUACGGGAGGCAGCAGUAAGG
rnacentral:rRNA from 1 species